UUCGCAGAUCUGUGCUUCAUCAGUUCGCUGCUGCUGUGUUCAUGCGUACAAAGACGUAUUUGUGAAUAGACGCGCGCGCCAGAUGACCAGAGCAAGUUCGCGUAGCUGCAUUUAGUAGGAGCGCUGCUGUUGCCGCAGGUGUUUCGCACAUGUUCGGCUAGAGUUUACCGAGCUUUGUCGUCGUCGACAAUUUGCUAGAGCGAUUGUUGUUGUGUAUUUACUCUGAAGUUCAGCAACGUGGAGGCAAGCAUCUCUCUGUGUGCGAAGCCAGCCUGCACACGCCCAGCGUCCACUUAUAACAUUGGUGUGUAAUUCUUCUCUGCCACGCUGGACUGCUAAUAGCCGUAAUUGGCUUUCCCGGUGACGUUGCUUCAGGAAAUAAAAAGCAUCUGUUUUCGUCGAGUUGCGCACAUUCGCUCAUCGGUCUCCCAGUCGCACAGCCAGCAUUCUUCAGACAGCAAGUGAGCCAAGCCUUCACGCGCGUACGUGUGGAUAGUAAAGAAUCUUACUAUUUAACAUACUAGUACGGCAUCAGUAAAGAAUCAUACUACUACGGCAUCAGUAAAGAAUAAUACUAUACUACAGCAUCAUCAUCCGAGUCUGUGAGGUAACCAUGGCAACGAGGCAGACCGUGCAGAUCAGCGAGGGUUCCUGUUGGAAGCUGUCCGCUGGAGGAGGCGCAAGACUGCAAGUAGUGAUGCUGGGAGGAUGCUGUUCGAACCCGGAUGCAAGGAAAAGGUCCGCUCUGAAACGAAGCGGCGACGCAGAGGUGAACAACGGCGAAAGCAUAUCUCACGAGGAGCAGGUAGAAGAGAGAGAGACCUCGCGAAAGCAGCUGCAACCCAAUGGCGAAGCUCAGGUGUUGAAGGCCUUUACAGGUGACGACGAGGUCUUCAUGAAGUCCAAGGAUAUCACUGCGAAAGAAGUCAACGAUGAAGCGAGCUGGAAGGUGGUUGCAUUAGACGAAGCCAAUUCGACCAUCUCUGCUGAGAAGGACCGCCGUGGACAUCCAUGAACAGAACUUUCGCUCUGCCGUGCUGUGCAACGAACAUUAAUGUACAUAAGUGUGAACUUAUAAUUAUAUUGUAGCGGUUUCAAGUUCCGAGUGUGUUUUAAUUAUUAUACGCAUUUAUUAUAGUAUAAUUAUAACUCAUUUCUUGCAGACAUGAAGAUAUUGAACAUAUAUAAAUUAAUUUACGAGUAAGCUCCACGCGAUUACAUUUUAAUAAUGUAAACAAAUUCUUCUUUUUUGUCGUGUGUGAAUAUUUUCGUAUUCUGUACUGCGAUUCCCCCGCAAUAUGAAUACGCGUGUAUUUACUCGGCCGUAAUAUAUAUAUAUAUAUAUAUAUAUAUAUAUAUAUAUAUAUAUAUAUAUAUAUAUAUAUAUAUAUAUAUAUAUAUAUAUAGGUCUCGUGAAAUGAAGUAUAUCGGUUAGAAAUAGUUUUUGCUAUGCUCGCUUGACCAGUCAGUUGGGUGUGCGUGUGUCUGCGUGGUGUGUGGUCGGUCUUAGUAGGCUUCUGUUGCCUCGCUACUGCGUGCCUUGCUAUACUGCGUGCCGUCGAGGUCUGGAACUCGUUACCCGAUACAGCGCUGUCUAGUCUAUUCUGACGGACAGUCUCUGUCUCAUUGUGACAGCUGUAAAAUCUGGAGGGAGUACAGGCCACUAUGUUUCUUAUUUAGGGACAUUCCUCGUCCUCUGUGGCAUAGUUUCUAGCUUAUCCAUUGACGCUACACUCGCAUCGGCUGGAUGCAAACUACGUGAGAACAGGACCCAGCUAGGUGCAUGCUGCUCGUUUCUUGUCAUCUUAUCUCGUUAUAUCUUCUCGGCCUUUAAGAAAUGAAAGUGAAUCUGAAUCUGAAGCCAGGCUUGCCCGCGCGCGCGUGUGUAUGUGCGUCUUGUCGGCUGUUGUCGGCUGUAGUUUGCUUCCAGCUCACGCUGUGUGGCGCCACCAUGCUGUUGUACCAACAUCCUAUCGUCUAUGUUUGACACAUCCCAGGUAGCGUGCUAGGUGUUUAGCUAUAAUAAUAUAACUUUCGUCUGCAUAUCCAUUUAUCAUGUGGAUCAUCCCCGUGCGAAUAAUCCCAGCACGUAUUUUGCUAAACGUUUUUAUUGUUGAUAGAUGAAUAGUCAGCAAAAGGUUCUGCUCUGGCAGACUGAUAUCUAUAUUUGUCUCUAUAUAUAUAUAGUAUAUAUAUACAUUAUAUAUAUAAAAACAAAUUGGCUGAAAAUAUAUUAUUUUGGUAGUAGCCAACUCUAACGAUCAGUAGAAAAUCUUGGCAGACGUUGUUUGGUUAUUAUUAAUGUGCAUUUGUACCAACCGUAUAGAACAUGUAUAUAAACCUUCGCUUUAUUUUGACUGCUCUAGUACGAGAAUCGUUUAGCGCGCAUUCUCACAAAUGCUAUGUACGCUGUGUGGCCGCGUUGGCGCGUGUGAAUACGACGUAUAAAUAAAUACUCAGCAAAUAUUUAGCGUGGAGUCUGUACAUGUGAUUGAUGGCUUUCUGUAAGUCUAUGUAAUGGGUACUGUUAGCGAGUGCUUCCUAAUGGUAUUUGAGGUAGCAUAACCAUACAAAACUCAUUGACAAAUCCGUCUUAUAUUUUACACUAGGGCCUGUAUAAAUGGUUGGUAUUUGAGGUAGCAUAACCAUACAAAACUCAUUGACAAAUCCGUCUUAUAUUUUACACUAGGGCCUGUAUAAAUGGUUGGUAUUUGAGGUAGCAUAACCAUACAAAACUCAUUGACAUAUCCGUCUUAUAUUUUACACUAGGGACUGUAUAAAUGGUUGGUAUUUGAGGUAGCAUAACCAUACAAAAUUCACUGAUAUAUCCGUCUUCUAUAUUACACGAGUGACUGUAUAAAGGGCUGAAUUCACUAUAGUAAGACCAUGUAGCACCGUAAGACCAUGUAGCACCGAAAGACCAUGUAAAAUAAAAUGGACUGAUCAGAAGGGAA